rnacentral:rRNA from 1 species
GACGAAUGCUGGCUGCGUGCUUAACACAUGCAAGUCGAACGGUGAACCAGGGCUUGCCCUGGGGAUCAGUGGCGAACGGGUGAGUAACACGUGGGCAACCUGCCCCUCACUCUGGGAUAACUCCGGGAAACCGGGGCUAAUACCGGAUACGACCUCAUGCGACAUCUCGUGAGGUGGAACGAACUUCGGUGAGGGAUGGGCCCGCGGCCUAUCAGCUAGUUGGUGGGGUAACGGCCCACCAAGGCGACGACGGGUAGCCGGCCUGAGAGGGCGACCGGCCACACUGGGACUGAGACACGGCCCAGACUCCUACGGGAGGCAGCAGUGGGGAAUAUUGCGCAAUGGGCGAAAGCCUGACGCAGCGACGCAGCGUGAGGGAUGAAGGCCUUCGGGUUGUAAACCUCUUUCAGCGGGGACGAAGCGAAAGUGACGGUACCCGCAGAAGAAGCACCGGCUAACUACGUGCCAGCCGCCGCCGUAAAAC